rnacentral:rRNA from 1 species
UACGUAGGGUGCAAGCGUUGUCCGGAAUUAUUGGGCGUAAAGAGCUCGUAGGCGGUUUGUCGCGUCUGCUGUGAAAACUGGGGGCUCAACCCCCAGCCUGCAGUGGGUACGGGCAGACUAGAGUGCGGUAGGGGAGGUUGGAAUUCCUGGUGUAGCGGUGGAAUGCGCAGAUAUCAGGAGGAACACCGGUGGCGAAGGCGGGUCUCUGGGCAACAACUGACGCUGAGGAGCGAAAGCGUGGGGAGCGAACAGG